rnacentral:rRNA from 1 species
GACGAACGCUGGCGGCGUGCUUAACACAUGCAAGUCGAACGGAAAGGCCCUGCUUUUGUGGGGUGCUCGAGUGGCGAACGGGUGAGUAACACGUGAGUAACCUGCCCUUGACUUUGGGAUAACUUCAGGAAACUGGGGCUAAUACCGGAUAGGAGCUCCUGCUGCAUGGUGGGGGUUGGAAAGUUUCGGCGGUUGGGGCUGGACUCGCGGCUUAUCAGCUUGUUGGUGGGGUAGUGGCUUACCAAGGCUUUGACGGGUAGCCGGCCUGAGAGGGUGACCGGCCACAUUGGGCCUGAGAUACGGCCCAGACUCCUACGGGAGGCAGCAGUGGGGAAUAUUGCACAAUGGGCGGACGCCUGAUGCAGCAACGCCGCGUGCGUGAUGACGGCCUUCGGGUUGUAAACCGCUUUCGCCUGUGACGAAGCGUGAGUGACGGUAAUGGGUAAAGAAGCACCGGCUAACUACGUG